rnacentral:rRNA from 1 species
GACGAACGCUGGCGGCGUGCCUAAUACAUGCAAGUAGAACGCUGAAGAGAGGAACUUACUCUUCUUGGAUGAGUUGCGAACGGGUGAGUAACGCGUAGGUAACCUGCCUUGUAGCGGGGGAUAACUAUUGGAAACGAUAGCUAAUACCGCAUAACAAUGGAUGACACAUGUCAUUUAUUUGAAAGGGGCAAUUGCUCCACUACAAGAUGGACCUGCGUUGUAUUAGCUAGUAGGUGAGGUAAUGGCUCACCUAGGCGACGAUACAUAGCCGACCUGAGAGGGUGGUCGGCCACACUGGGACUGAGACACGGCCCAGACUCCUACGGGAGGCAGCAGGAGGGAAUCUUCGGCAAUGGGGGCAACCCUGACCGAGCAACGCCGCGUGAGUGAAGAAGGUUUUCGGAUCGUAAAGCUCGGUUGUAAGUCAAGAACGGGUGUGAGAGUGGAAAGUUCACACUGUGACGGUAGCUUACCAGAAAGGGACGGCUAACUACGUG